rnacentral:lncRNA from 1 species
AUGAUCAUCAUGAGGAUGAUGAUAGAUCCGGAUAGACUGGCGUACAAAUCACUUUCUUCGAGAUAGAUGAAUCUCUAAUCUACUGUAUAGAGAUACUGGAUGAUAAGUGUGGGUGGUUGUUAGAGAACAACUGGCACUGCACAUGAUCAAACGAGAGAUCACUUGGAUUUCUAUUCAAUCAUCAGUGAUUGUCUUGAUGUUGUAGUUGUGUGACUGAUCCUUUGAGUUGAGAUGGUAUUGUUACUCACAGUGAAGCUGCUGGAGUUUGAUUGACACAUAAAUAUGGGUCUCAAUAUUCCCUUGUAAUAGAUGUUGGCGACAGUUGGUCCACUGUAGG